UGGGGGAUAUUGCACAAUGGGGGAAACCCUGAUGCAGUGACGCCGCGUGGAGGAAGAAGGUUUUCGGAUUGUAAACUCCUGUCGUUAGGGACGAUAAUGACGGUACCUAACAAGAAAGCACCGGCUAACUACGUGCCAGCAGCCGCGGUAAAACGUAGGGUGCAAGCGUUGUCCGGAAUUACUGGGUGUAAAGGGAGCGCAGGCGGGAAGACAAGUUGGAAGUGAAAACCAUGGGCUCAACCCAUGAAUUGCUUUCAAAACUGUUUUUCUUGAGUAGUGCAGAGGUAGAUGGAAUUCCCGGUGUAGCGGUGGAAUGCGUAGAUAUCGGGAGGAACACCAGUGGCGAAGGCGGUCUACUGGGCACCAACUGACGCUGAGGCUCGAAAGCAUGGGUAGCAAACAGGAUUAGAUACCCUGGUAGUCCAUGCCGUAAACGAUGAUUACUAGGUGUUGGGGGAUUGACCCCCUCAGUGCCGCAGUUAACACAAUAAGUAAUCCACCUGGGGAGUACGACCGCAAGGUUGAAACUCAAAGGAAUUGACGGGGGCCCGCACAAGCAGUGGAGUAUGUGGUUUAAUUCGAAGCAACGCGAAGAACCUUACCAGGUCUUGACAUCCGAUGCAUAACACAGAGAUGUGUGAAAUCCUUCGGGACAUCGAGACAGGUGGUGCAUGGUUGUCGUCAGCUCGUGUCGUGAGAUGUUGGGUUAAGUCCCGCAACGAGCGCAACCCUUAUUGCCAGUUACUACGUUAAGAGGACUCUGGCGAGACUGCCGUUGACAAAACGGAGGAAGGUGGGGAUGACGUCAAAUCAUCAUGCCCUUUAUGACCUGGGCUACACACGUACUACAAUGGCGUUAAACAAAGAGAAGCAAGACCGCGAGGUGGAGCAAAACUCAAAAACAACGUCUCAGUUCAGAUUGCAGGCUGCAACUCGCCUGCAUGAAGUCGGAAUUGCUAGUAAUCGCGGAUCAGCAUGCCGCGGUGAAUACGUUCCC
rnacentral:rRNA from 1 species